AUCUGAUGGCAAAACAGAUCAGAAUGAACACUUUCUGAUAACAGCUGUGUAUUUGCUAAUUGUUUAAACAAAUGCUUGCAAGCUCUCCCUUCAAUGUUUGCCUUCAGGGGUUGCAGAGGACAGGAGCUGCUGCCUGUGCCCGCAAGCUGUGAAGACCCAAGGGAAGAUGCACAGGGCCUGAAGGGGAAAAUCCCUCACGUUGGAUACUCCCCACUGCCUGGCUGGUUCUCCUGAGAACUGGGAGCCUUCAACCUGAUGCUGACUUUCUGCAGCUUGAAUCCUGGUCCUGAAACAAGCCUCAGCUGGGCCUGGAGCACAGUCUUCAGAGUGUCUCAGCUUAAAGCUUCAGAUCUAGCCACUGCCAAACUUCCAGAUUUUUUCAGUUCUGUCCCAUCUCAACUUAAAGGAACUGUGACUGCAUCCCAAAGAGACGCGAGGCAGCAGAGGGAGAUGCUUGGAGUGACUGUUCUUCUGUAACAGGGAAAAGAAAAAGGCUGCAAAG
rnacentral:lncRNA from 1 species